CUCCCGACGCGACCCCAGGUCAGG
rnacentral:rRNA from 1 species